rnacentral:tRNA from 2 species
GUCAGUGUACUCUUAAUCGGUAAAGCGGCACUUGUCAGAUGUUUAUGCGGGUUCGACCCCCGCCACUGACC